rnacentral:tRNA from 1 species
GGGAAGUUGGCUCAGUGGUAGAGCACUUGCCUUGUAUGCAAGGCCCUGGGUUUGAUUCCUCA